UACGUGCCAGCAGCCGCGGUAAUACGUAGGGUGCAAGCGUUGUCCGGAAUUACUGGGCGUAAAGAGCUCGUAGGCGGUUUGUCGCGUCGUCUGUGAAAUCCUACAGCUUAACUGUGGGCGUGCAGGCGAUACGGGCAGACUUGAGUACUACAGGGGAGACUGGAAUUCCUGGUGUAGCGGUGAAAUGCGCAGAUAUCAGGAGGAACACCGGUGGCGAAGGCGGGUCUCUGGGUAGUAACUGACGCUGAGGAGCGAAAGCAUGGGUAGCGAACAGGAUUAGAUACCCUGGUAGUCCAUGCCGUAAACGGUGGGCGCUAGGUGUGGGUUUCCUUCCACGGGAUCCGUGCCGCAGCUAACGCAUUAAGCGCCCCGCCUGGGGAGUACGGCCGCAAGGCUAAAACUCAAAGGAAUUGACGGGGGCCCGCACAAGCGGCGGAGCAUGUGGAUUAAUUCGAUGCAACGCGAAGAACCUUACCUGGGCUUGACAUAUACAGGACGACGGCAGAGAUGUCGUUUCCCUUGUGGCUUGUAUACAGGUGGUGCAUGGUUGUCGUCAGCUCGUGUCGUGAGAUGUUGGGUUAAGUCCCGCAACGAGCGCAACCCUUGUCUCAUGUUGCCAGCAAUUCGGUUGGGGACUCGUGAGAGACUGCCGGGGUCAACUCGGAGGAAGGUGGGGAUGACGUCAAAUCAUCAUGCCCCUUAUGUCCAGGGCUUCACACAUGCUACAAUGGCCGGUACAGAGGGCUGCGAUACUGUAAAGUGGAGCGAAUCUCUUAAAGCCGGUCUCAGUUCGGAUUGGGGUCUGCAACUCGACCCCAUGAAGUCGGAGUCGCUAGUAAUCGCAGAUCAGCAAUGCUGCGGUGAAUACGUUCCCGGGCCUUGCACUCACCGCCCGU
rnacentral:rRNA from 1 species